rnacentral:rRNA from 1 species
GGUAACCUGCCUGUAAGACUGGGAUAACUCCGGGAAACCGGGGCUAAUACCGGAUGGUUGUUUGAACCGCAUGGUUCAGACAUAAAAGGUGGCUUCGGCUACCACUUACAGAUGGACCCGCGGCGCAUUAGCUAGUUGGUGAGGUAACGGCUCACCAAGGCAACGAUGCGUAGCCGACCUGAGAGGGUGAUCGGCCACACUGGGACUGAGACACGGCCCAGACUCCUACGGGAGGCAGCAGUAGGGAAUCUUCCGCAAUGGACGAAAGUCUGACGGAGCAACGCCGCGUGAGUGAUGAAGGUUUUCGGAUCGUAAAGCUCUGUUGUUAGGGAAGAACAAGUGCCGUUCAAAUAGGGCGGCACCUUGACGGUACCUAACCAGAAAGCCACGGCUAACUACGUGCCAGCAGCCGCGGUAAUACGUAGGUGGCAAGCGUUGUCCGGAAUUAUUGGGCGUAAAGGGCUCGCAGGCGGUUUCUUAAGUCUGAUGUGAAAGCCCCCGGCUCAACCGGGGAGGGUCAUUGGAAACUGGGGAACUUGAGUGCAGAAGAGGAGAGUGGAAUUCCACGUGUAGCGGUGAAAUGCGUAGAGAUGUGGAGGAACACCAGUGGCGAAGGCGACUCUCUGGUCUGUAACUGACGCUGAGGAGCGAAAGCGUGGGGAGCGAACAGGAUUAGAUACCCUGGUAGUCCACGCCGUAAACGAUGAGUGCUAAGUGUUAGGGGGUUUCCGCCCCUUAGUGCUGCAGCUAACGCAUUAAGCACUCCGCCUGGGGAGUACGGUCGCAAGACUGAAACUCAAAGGAAUUGACGGGGGCCCGCACAAGCGGUGGAGCAUGUGGUUUAAAUUCGAAGCAACGCGAAGAACCCUUACCAGGUCUUGACAUCCUCUGACAUCCUAGAAGAUAGACGUUCCCCUUUCGGGGGCAGGAGUGACAGUUGAUGCAUGGUUGUCGUCAGGCUUCGUGUCGUGGAGAUUGUUGGAUUAGUUCCCGGCAACGAG